ensembl:lncRNA
ACCUGCAGAAGCCCUAAGGACCUGGGAUAGGCUGACAGGCUCCCGCCCCACUGAACAACUUUAGCAUACCGCCUGACAACUUCCGAAAGAAAGGCACAGUCUGUCUGAGCCACAGGCUCACGGUGGGGGGUCUGCUGUCCUGUGACUUGAGGGCAAACCUGGACGUCUCCUGAGACCCACAGGUGAGCUCGGCCUUCGGCUGCAAGUCUGUGUGUUUGCAAAAGCUGUGUGGUUUUCUGAAAAGGAGAAGAGGCUGGGCUUCCCAGGGGGUGUGCUGGCGAGAAACCCGCCUGCCAAUUCAGAAGCAGUGGGUUUGACCCCCGGGUCAGGAAGAUCCCCUGGAGUAGAAAACGGCAGCCCACUUCAGUAUUCCCGCCUGGAAAAGCCCAUGGACAGAAGAGCCUGGCGGGCUACANNNNNNNNNNNNNNNNNNNGCGUGCCUGGCCGUGGCUGAGCACAACGCGAAAGGCACGGCCAAGCGCCACGGAAGCUCUACGCCAAGCCGCAAAAAGAAGGGCACACACCGCCUGGGGCGCGCGCCAGCGCAGAUGCGUUUACUGCUGAGCGUUCGCGUGCGGAGACGCAGGGCACACACUACGACGCGGCGCUGCCUCAGUUGAUGCAUCUCAGUCAUUUUUAUUGCAACUGGAAGACAAUACAUCACAGAAACUUUAUGGAAGGUCUGGGGGAAAGUGUUAUUUACAAUAAAUGGUGAAAUAGUUUGUCUUUGGCAAUAUGAUUACAUACGAAGGAUGCGAAAUGCAAGUAUGGAUGGAUGCCUCCAAAGCAACACCAUCAGGUCCCUCAAGGUGGGCGGGCUGUGCCUGCUUCCACGCUUCCUCUAGGCAACACAAACGCGACCGAACGCCACUUUCUCCUUUACGGUUCUCCCUUUCUGUUCAUGAUAUUGGCAGUAUCUAUUCCAAAUAAAUAGUCUUGAUUUCAGCGCUAACAAAACGAACAGGAAGGGUACUUGUGAGCAUGAUCACAGUUAAGUCAGGAGUGAUCUUUCACCCAGGUCUGAUUUCAAAAGUAGGACAACAGCAGAACGCAGCACCAUAGACGCGUUGGUUUCGGCCGUUAAAAGGUGGAUCGUUUGAAACAUCGGAUUUUCCUUCCUUAAUUUUUGGUCAGUGACGCUAGCACUUGUUUGCUGAACUGUGGAAGAAUUGUAAGGUCACACACAUUAUUCAUGAUAAAGCAACGGAGUCUGUGCUUAAUUCAAGAAUAACCAGUAGGGGGCAGAGAGAGCAGUUGGCCACCGUCGCCGCGCUCUCUCCUAGGAAGCGGGGUUGACAGAUGGGUUCACAAAGGCAGGUGGGUCUACACAGAACACUGCACGCCCUGUGGACAUCCUCACGGGGCUCCAGGGACGGGAAUACCACACAACGGAUAUACUUUGAUUUACACAUUCCAUUACAACGAAGAAGAAAAAAAAAAGACACCAUUCCAACUUUGUAACUGUGUUAACUGCAAUAUAAACCAAAGUCCCGAGUUUUGGCAGGUAACUAAAAAGAGGGUUAUCACUUAGGUUAUAUAGCAAAAGUGUUGAUGUA